UACGAAAGGGGCCAGCGUUGUUCGGAAUUACUGGGCGUAAAGCGCACGUAGGCGGCCUUGUAAGUUGGGGGUGAAAUCCCCGGGCUCAACCCGGGAACUGCCUUCAAGCCUGCAAGGCUCGAGGAUGCGAGAGGUUGGCGGAAUUCCGAGUGUAGAGGUGAAAUUCGUAGAUAUUCGGAAGAACACCAGUGGCGAAGGCGGCCAACUGGCGCAUUUCUGACGCUGAGGUGCGAAAGCGUGGGGAGCAAACAGG
rnacentral:rRNA from 1 species